rnacentral:rRNA from 1 species
AGAGUUUGAUCCUGGCUCAGGACGAACGCUGGCGGCGUGCUUAAGACAUGCAAGUCGUGCGGAGAUCCUGUUGCAGCUUGCUGCGAUAGGAUCUUAGCGGCGGACGGGUGAGUAACACGUGGAUAAUCUACCUUGACCUCUGGGAUAACAGCCCGAAAGGGCUGCUAAUACCGGAUAAGCCCACGGCCCCGCCUGGGGCAGUGCGAAAAGGCGCUCGAAUUAUGGGCGUCGGGUCAAGAUGAGUCCGCGGCCCAUUAGCUAGUUGGUGAGGUAAUGGCUCACCAAGGCGACGAUGGGUAGCCGGCCUGAGAGGGUGACCGGCCACACUGGGACUGAGACACGGCCCAGACUCCUACGGGAGGCAGCAGUCGGGAAUUUUGGACAAUGGCCGAAAGGCUGAUCCAGCAACGCCGCGUGGGGGAGGAAGGCCUUCGGGUUGUAAACCCCUGUUGCCCGUGACGAACGGCCAGGGCAGGAAAUGGCCCUGGAUUGACGGUAGCGGGUGAGGAAGCCACGGCUAACUACGUGCCAGCAGCCGCGGUAAU